rfam:Apaloderma vittatum contig53140, whole genome shotgun sequence.
UAGCUCAGUCAGUUGAGCGUGGUGCUAACAACGCCAAGGUUGUGGGUUCGAUUCCCAU